rnacentral:rRNA from 1 species
GACAGAGGGUGCAAACGUUUGUUCGGAAUUACUGGGCGUAAAGCGUGCGUAGGCGGACCUGCAAGUCGGGGGUGAAAGCCCGAGGCUCAACCUCGGAACUGCCUUCGAUACUGCGGGUCUCGAGUCCGGGAGAGGUGAGUGGAAUUCCUAGUGUAGAGGUGAAAUUCGUAGAUAUUAGGAAGAACACCAGUGGCGAAGGCGGCUCACUGGCCCGGUACUGACGCUGAGGUGCGAAAGCGUGGGGAGCAAACAGG